rnacentral:sRNA from 1 species
GGCUCAUCAUUGGAUUGAUUAUCGCCGACAGCUGUUAUCGAGAGAGAUCAAAGAUUGCACAGAUCACUCAAGCAGGCAUAUUUAUAUGGACGUAAUACAACUUAAGGCACGCGUUUUGCAUUGGUAUAAAUACAGAUACAAUAAAUAACACACGAAACGAAACUGUGAAGGAACUGGAGCUGGAACUAGCGCGCGCUUUUUAAAAGUAUCGGUUCGUUAGGCUCCACAUCCAGCCGGGCAGCAGACCCAUGCCAGUGCCCGUAUUUGUGUUCGUAUUUGGAAUCUGCGGUACUGCAUUAUGGCAAUAUACGUUUGGAUGGAAUUGAUCGAUUGAUCCCAACCGAAAUGAAAUGAGAGACAGAUAUGUAAUAAAGAAAAAUUGAUAAAAAAGAUAAUCGCAUAAAUACAAUUUCAGCAAGUCGAAGCGGUUUACAGCGGGCAGCUUUUGGGUGUGCGCAGGAUUACGUGCUGUUUGUGACGUAACUAAAUACAAUUUGAUCUACGAAUGAUUGCGAUUGCGAUUGCGAUACGUUAAGCAAGCGAUAGCGAUAGCGAUAACGAUAGCUAAUAAUCAGUUCGAUCAACUGGCAUAAAAUACAAUUGCUAAAAAUGAAGCACACAGAGCUACAAUUAAUAAAGCUUAAUUACACGCAGACACACACAUCAGAGAUGGGAGAGCAGCUUUUAAUUGAUGACACACACACACACACAGAUUGGGUGAGGGGUUCAAACGUUAUUUGCUGGGCAAUAAAAACAAACACAUUGACUUCAAUAAUAGAAUUGAACUACAAUACGAGUACGAGUACGAUACGAUACAUAUAUAAACUUAAUUAAACAUACCAUAUUUGUAUAAAUUCAUUUAAUGGAUACGUCUCUGUGUGGAGAGACUGCCAGAUUUUUAAGGAUUUUUAAAACAUUUUUUUGGCUGGUAAGAAAUAACAACUCAUACAUGUUUAUGAGAUCUUUUUGACUUUAGUUUCGAUCUUUCGAAUUUCUAUUAAAUAUUUUGUUUACAGUUCAGCUACUAUCGAAUCCGC